UACGUAGGGGGCUAGCGUUGCUCGGAAUCACUGGGCGUAAAGCGCACGUAGGCGGCUUUCUAAGUCAGGGGUGAAAUCCUGGAGCUCAACUCCAGAACUGCCUUUGAUACUGGGAAGCUUGAGUCCGGAAGAGGUGAGUGGAACUGCGAGUGUAGAGGUGAAAUUCGUAGAUAUUCGCAAGAACACCAGUGGCGAAGGCGGCUCACUGGUCCGGUACUGACGCUGAGGUGCGAAAGCGUGGGGAGCAAACAGG
rnacentral:rRNA from 1 species